AAACGAUGUCGACUUGGAGGUUGUGCCCUUGAGGCGUGGCUUCCGGGAGCUAACGCGUUAAGUCGACCGCCUGGGGAGUACGGCCGCAAGGUUAAAACUCAAAUGAAUUGACGGGGGCCCGCACAAGCGGUGGAGCAUGUGGUUUAAUUCGAUGCAACGCGAAGAACCUUACCUGGUCUUGACAUCCACGGAAGUUUUCCAGAGAUGAGAAUGUGCCUUCGGGAACCGUGAGACAGGUGCUGCAUGGCUGUCGUCAGCUCGUGUUGUGAAAUGUUGGGUUAAGUCCCGCAACGAGCGCAACCCUUAUCCUUUGUUGCCAGCGGUCCGGCCGGGAACUCAAAGGAGACUGCCAGUGAUAAACUGGAGGAAGGUGGGGAUGACGUCAAGUCAUCAUGGCCCUUACGACCAGGGCUACACACGUGCUACAAUGGCGCAUACAAAGAGAAGCGACCUCGCGAGAGCAAGCGGACCUCAUAAAGUGCGUCGUAGUCCGGAUUGGAGUCUGCAACUCGACUCCAUGAAGUCGGAAUCGCUAGUAAUCGUGGAUCAGAAUGCCACGGUGAAUACGUCCCGGCCUUUCAC
rnacentral:rRNA from 1 species